rnacentral:lncRNA from 1 species
UCUUUUUGUUUUAUUCUAUUUUGUGACAAAGUUGGCUUAUAAAAGUUUGAACCCUGACUGUAAUCAUUCUUGGCAACCUGUUGCUUAGCCUCAAAUAUCAGAAUACAACUUUCAGGCUUUUGUCCUCACAGUUACAUCAAACACAUUACCUAGUACCUUAAACCAAGACUUGGAGAAACUGAGGGCUUUAGGUCUUUUUUUUCCUCAGCCAUUUCGAAAGGGCAGUAUCCCUAUCAGAACUGUGAUGUUUCCUUAAACAAAUUGUUGCUUGUAAAGAAAGGGUAUAGACAUGCUGGUUCCUUGGUAUCACCUUGCUUAUAUGCCCAGCAUGUUUUGUUGAUGUGGGGAGCAGGUCAGUAAAACUGCACAUUUUUACCAGCAUAUAGAUUAUUCCAGAACUUAGGCCCUGCUAUGUAUGUGUGUGUUUACAUACAUUUGUGCAUACAUAUAUGUGUCUUUGCCUAUAAAGAAAAAUAUCUAUUGUGCUCCCAUUUAAAAGUGAUAUACCUAAUUUUGAGUACAAAAUAGAUGCAAAUUUGAAUAUUAAAUUUCAUUCUUAUUCUACCAUAAUUCUUUGGCUUCCUUUUUCUAAAGGUUUUGUUUUUGUUUUUAUUUCUUAACAUUUCUAUUUUAUGUGUGGAUAUGGUAUGCGUGUGCUAUGGUAGGUAUAUUCCAGUCAGAGGCCAACUUUGGCGAAUUGGUUAUCUCCUACCAUGUGGGUCCUGGGGCUGGCACUCGGGACAUCAGGCUAGGUAGCAGCCCCUCCUCUUGAGCUACCUUGCUGGCUCCUUACUUCUCAUCAAAGCCACCUGCUUCUCUACAUAAGCACUUUAGGCUUAUCAAGUCAUUCUGACAUUGUGCAAAUCAAGAACUAAUUAAAACAGAUUAACAUUCAGUUUGGAUUUAAAAAACAUGAACAGUGAGAGAAAAUAGUUUCAAAGAAAAGUUUUGAAGAAAGCAUAACAAAUAAAAGCCAUUAAAAAGUAUACAACAACCCCAAACUUUUUUGUAUAUGGGUCUUUUUAGUUUUUUAACAGUUCUACUUUUAUUUAUUUACUUUCAUGAGUUUACAUUUAUGAGGGGUACAGCCUCUCAGAUUCAGUCCGGUGGCCUUUGUAGGAACUUCACUUUGGAAUUAAGAACAAACUAUUCCACUAUUUCUAUGGGCCUGAGUUACCACAACUACUCUUUAUUUUGUCAGUUUGCCUCCAGGAGUCAGUAUUGUUUUUUUCCUUUAUACAUGUAAGUGCAUCUCUUGCAUAAAGGAAUUCAGUUUCAUCUUGGCUAUAAAACCUUAUUAUAAAAGCUCCUUGGGGUUUUUUAUGUAAGUGAGGCCCAGUUACUAAUAAUGAGUUAAGAACAGCACAUUGUAAAAUGAAACAAAGUGUAAUUUUAAACUGAGGUCUGUGAAAGUUGGCUGAAGUAUUUUGUGUUUAAUGUAUAUAAUAGGAAAUACAAGAAUUGUGAUCUUAGAUUCCUGUUGGAUUGAGUUCAUGCAUUUGAAGUUCUGUGGUGUUUUGCUAAAUGCAAUUUAUAUUUCAAAGAAAAUAUCCUUAUGAACAGUCAUUUUUAGCAAAUAGGCAUUUGCUUACUAAUUGCAUUUAACAAAUAGCAUUUGCUUACUAAUUCUGAGUUUCAAAGGAUGUGCUUAAUUAUCAUAUUUCCUAGGCUUUUGAAAACCAGACAGUUUAUCUUUUCCCACAAUAGGCUUUCAAAUAUCUCAGGCAAACAUUAUUAGAGUAAAAUGAAAAUUUAUUUACUGAAAUUCCUAAAAAGUUGAAGCAUCACACACAAUGUGCAGAUUAUUAAUACAAUAAAUAUAUUUGUUCUUACAAUUCUAAUAAGUUUUGAGUAAUUAAGUGCUUAUGCACAUUUGAAGUGUAAUAGUGUUUCUACACACUUGAGUGUUUUAAAAGUUUUAAGUCUUAGGGAUAAGCACUAAAAUUACUUUGUGCUAUUUCUCUUUAACUACAGACCCUGCCACAUGGAAAAACUCAAGACACCUUUCCAAAGGUUUCCUUUAUCCAUUUGUUUUUAGCCCUCCCUUUUUUAUUAUGCCUGCAUGUGUGCUUAUGUACCCGUACAGGCUGCGUGCACCGUUUCCAUUUUUAUUUGCCUCUUUACAUUGGUUGCAGGUUUUGGUGGUUCUUGUUAGUGUUUUGGCAUUGCAUUAACAUGCAAGCCUUUUUGGUGGUAGAAUUUAAUUUUUACAAAAACAUAACUGAAGAUACUGAAACUUUUAUAUGGCCAACUAAGUUAAAAUACCCCUUUUGUAUGUAGUAGUACCUCUGUGAGUUCUGUCACCUAGAUUAAUCUGGUCUUUCAAAGGUCCUUUUUGGAAGAAGGUUCUAAGCUUCAAGUAGGUGAACAUUUUAUUUGCAAAAAGGAUCUGGUUUUAUAUACCUUUGUUCUAACAAAGAACCAUAUACCUUUUACUAAAUAAAUAUGUAUGUGAAAAUGUUACUUUUGUUUCAGGUGACUUUUAUGCAUUAAAUAUUUUAAAUCAUUCAGAUACUUAAGCUUCUGAAUUUGGUGAAGGCGGAAUAGCAGUGCUUGGGUAAGAUGUCAGGAGCAGACUGUGACUGCAAACUAGCCGAGUGUCAGUUCCUCACACACAUAUAUAGUUCUAUUUUCAUUAAUUUUGCAUUCAUUUCUGUUCUAUAAUUCCAUGAGAAAAUAUAGAUUUGACCUUGGGAAAAAUCACAUUGGCAGUCUGCAUUCCAAGCCAGCUACUACCCUGUCACUGAGAGCUCUAUAUGUAGGC